AUUGAACGCUGGCGGCAGGCCUAACACAUGCAAGUCGAACGUAUUGCUGACGGGUGAGUAAUGUUUGGGAAACUGCCCGCAGGCGGGCGAUAACUACUGGUUACGGUCGCUAAACCCGCAUACCAUGGUAUGUGCCCAGAUGGGAGUCUCUAGUCGGUGGGGUAACGGCUUACCUAAGCGACGAACCCUAGCUGGUCUGAGAGGAUGACCAGCCACACUGGAACGGAGACACGGUCCAGACUCCUACGGGAGGCAGCAGUGGGGAAUAUUGCACAAGGGGGGAGAGGCGGAUGCAGCCAUGCGGCGGGUAUGAAGAAGGCCUUCGGGUUGUAAAGUACUUUCAGCGGUGAGGCGUUACCCGCAGAGGAAGCACCGGCUAACUCCGUGCCAGCCGCCGCGGUAAUUC
rnacentral:rRNA from 1 species